rnacentral:misc_RNA from 1 species
GAAAUGCGAUAAGUAAUGUGAAUUGCAGAAUUCAGUGAAUCAUCGAAUCUUUGAACGCACAUUGCGCCCGCCAGUAUUCUGGCGGGCAUGCCUGUUCGAGCGUCAUUUCAACCAUCAAGCCCCCGGCUUGUGUUGGGGACCUGCGGCUGCCCGCAGGCCCUGAAAAACAGUGGCGGGCUCGCUGUCACACCGAGCGUAGUAGCAUACAUUCUUGCUCAGGGCGUGCUGCGGGUUCCGGCCGUUAAACGACCUUCAUAACCCAAGGUUGACCUCGGAUCAGGUAGGAAGACCCGCUGAACUUAAGC